rnacentral:rRNA from 1 species
UACGUAGGCAGCAAGCGUUGUUCGGAAUUACUGGGCGUAAAGCGAGUGUAGGCGGUCUGCCAAGUCUGUUGUGAAAUCUCCUGGCUCAACUGGGAGGGUGCGACGGAAACUGGCAGGCUUGAGUGCGGGAGAGGAGAGUGGAAUUCCUGGUGUAGCGGUGAAAUGCGUAGAGAUCAGGAGGAACAUCAGUUGCGAAGGCGGCUCUCUGGACCAGCACUGACACUGAGGCACGAAAGCGUGGGGAGCAAACAGG